UACGUAGGUGGCAAGCGUUGUCCGGAAUUAUUGGGCGUAAAGCGCGCGCAGGCGGUUCCUUAAGUCUGAUGUGAAAGCCCACGGCUCAACCGUGGAGGGUCAUUGGAAACUGGGGACUUGAGUGCAGAAGAGGAGAGCGGAAUUCCACGUGUAGCGGUGAAAUGCGUAGAGAUGUGGAGGAACACCAGUGGCGAAGCGGCGCCUACUGGUCUGUAACUGACGCUGAGGCGCGAAAAGCGUGGGGAGCAAACAGGAUUAGAUACCCCGGUAGUC
rnacentral:rRNA from 1 species